CUAAUGCUCGGCUAGAGUGAGUAAAGUGCAGGGAUAUAUAUAUCCCUGCACUUUACUCACUCCUAGCCGAGCAUUAG
rnacentral:pre_miRNA from 13 species